AUGAGUUUGCCACACAGGAGUACAGUGCUCCCUGCACCACAGUCAAGGCUGAACAGGGAAAUUCCUGAAGAAUGCAUCUUGUCUGAGUCUUGCUGUAUCAGCUCAUACAUCUCUGCCCCUAGAAGAUCUUCUUGUUGAGGGUGGGGUAUUGAAACAUUAGAGGAGGACACCUCAAAAACACAAAGGAAGUAACACUGUAAAUAAAUUAAGUCUUGAUUCUCAUCA